CUCGCCUUCACCUUGACCCGGGCCGCUCCCGGCCCCAAAGCUUAGCAUAAACAAAGAGCGGAGCAGGGGACAACCCGCGCACCGCCCCCGGCCCGCCGGCGCCCCCGGCGCCCCCGGUGCCCCCGCUCCCGUCCCAGAACCCGAACCAGUCCCGUCCCCGAGCCCCCCGCAGAGCCAGGCGGCCCGCGGCCCCUUACCUUGGCCUGGCAUUUCCGAUGACAGGAGAAGCUGCAGACUGCGAGAGGGCGAGACACAGAAAGAAAGUUUAGCCGCGAGUGAACAGCGAAGAAAGCGGGGGAAGCCCAGGUUCCAACCCUGCGCACAUCCCACACACUGGAGGAAACACCCAGCCUGUGAUUGACAUGGAUGCCCACUCCACACUGUACCACACCUCACUGAGAGUCAAGGGCAGGAAUACGCCAACCUUCCCAGCCUGAUGUCCUCUGCGCUUGAGUCCUUCCCAGAUGCACAUCUCAGGAUCAACCCCACCUGAGCGAACCGUGGCCCUCCCCAGCUCCCACAGAAGACAGUGGCCUCUGAAGCCAGUGACUCUGCAAGAUGAAGCCCCCUGGGGAGGGAUCCCAUCAAACCAAAGCUCCGUGCAGCCCCCAGAGUCCCAUCUCUGCCCAUUGGUGUCAACAGGGACCCCCACACAGCAGGGCACCUCCCCUGCCUUCCAGGCUCCUGAUACACCAGCCGGUGGCCUAAGAGGGAGCUGAGAGCCCCAUAGUGUAGAGGGGUCCAUAGGUUACCUUCUGGGGUGGAAAAAUGCACCCCCAACCCCAGCCCUCAGCCAGCUCCCGCCUCACUGGCUCACUGGGCUGCCAGGACUCUGUCCUGAGGUGGCUUCCUGCCUCUCAGGAACACAGGAAGCCAACAUUGUUGGGAUCUAAAUGGCCUUUUCCUCCUGGCCUCGGCUUGGAAAAUGAGCACAUAGCCUCAGUGUGCACCUGACCCCAGCAAUAACCGCCCACACCCCCAGUGGGCCUCAGCUUGUUCCCCAGCUGACAGAGUGACCAGCCCAGCCACCCACCUGCCCACCCAGCCUAACAGCCCUUCCCUGCUCUGCUGAUCUCCAUGGCCUUGGGCAGGCUAUGGUACUCAAAUAGUUGUUCAACAUUAUUCUAGUUGUUUCUAUGAAGGGGUUUUUUUUAUGGAUAAGAGUAACAUUUAAAUCAGGAGACUUUGAGUAAAGCACAUUAACUUCCAUAAUGUGGGUGGGCCUUAUCCAAUCAGUUGAAGGCCUGAAUAAAAACAAAGACCUCCCCAAGCAGGAAGAAAUUCUGCCAACAGACUAGUUUAGAACUUGAACUGCAAGUCCCUGGGUCUCCAGCCUGAUGACCUACUCUGCAGAUUUUGGACUUGCCAAGUCUCUGUAACUGCAUGAGCCAGUUUCUUAAGACAAAUUACCUAUCUCUAUCCAUCCAUCAACUACCUACCUACCCAUCCAUCCAUCUAUACACACAUGCUGUUGGUUCUGUUUCUCUGGAGAACCCCAACUAAUACAAGGGAUGGUCAGAGGUACGGGCACCAUGAGACUUUGGAGUUGAGCGAGAAGAAACUUCUAGAUCAUCCCGUCCAGUGCUUUUGAAACUUUCAUGCACAUGGACUCCUAUGAUAUUGGUUACCAUCAUGCGCAUGGACUCCUUUGAUAUUGGUUACCAUUCAGGAAUGCUCAUUCUGUACCAGGCUCUGUUCUGAGCCCUUUAUGUGUACAUAUCAUCUCAUUUCAUCCCCAAAGUAACUCAAGGAGA